rnacentral:rRNA from 1 species
GCUGGAUUCGCUAGUAAUCGCGCAUCAGCCAUGGCGCGGUGAAUACGUUCCCGGGCCUUGUACACACCGCCCGUCACACCAUGGGAGCCGGUAAUACCCGAAGUCAGUAGUCCAACCUCGUGAGGACGCUGCCGAAGGUAGGAUUGGCGACUGGGGUGAAGUCGUAACAAGGUACC